rnacentral:ncRNA from 2 species
CCGUUCUCAACGGGGUGCGGCCAACGUUCGUGUACGUUUGCGUCGCUGAGAAAAUACCCGUCGAACCUGAUCCGGUUAAUACCGGCGAAGGGAUUUGAGACUGCAUCCCGC